rnacentral:rRNA from 1 species
GACGAACGCUGGCGGCGUGCUUAACACAUGCAAGUCGAACGGAAAGGCCCUGCUUUCGUGGGGUGCUCGAGUGGAGAACGGGAGAGUAACACGUGAGUAACCUGCCCUUGACUUUGGGAUAACUUCAGGAAACUGGGUCUAAUACCGGAUAGGAGCUCCCGCUGCAUGGUGGGGGGUGGAGAGUUUUGGCGGUUGGGGAUGGGCUCGCGGCUUAUGAGCUUGUUGGUGGGGUAGUGGCUUACCAAGGCGUUGACGGGUAGCCGGCCUGAGAGGGUGACCGGCCACACUGGGACUGAGACACGGCCCCGACUCCUACGGGAGGCAGCAGUGGGGAAUAUUGCACAAUGGGCGCAAGCCUGAUGCAGCGACGCCGCGUGGGGGAUGACGGCCUUCGGGUUGUAAACCUCUUUCAGCAGGGAAGAAGCGAGAGUGACGGUAACUGGAGAAGAAGCACCGGCUAACUACGUG